rnacentral:rRNA from 1 species
CCUACGGGUGGCAGCAGUGGGGAAUAUUGCACAAUGGGGGAAACCCUGAUGCAGCGACGCCGCGUGAAGGAAGAAGUAUUUCGGUAUGUAAACUUCUAUCAGCAGGGAAGAAAAUGACGGUACCUGACGAAGAAGCCCCGGCUAACGACGUGCCAGCAGCCGCGGUAAGACGUAGGGGGCAAGCGUUAUCCGGAUUUACUGGGUGUAAAGGGAGCGUAGACGGCAUGGCAAGUCUGGUGUGAAAGGCAGGGGCUCAACCCCUGGACUGCAUUGGAAACUGUCAGGCUGGAUUGCAGGAGAGGUAAGUGUAAUUCCUAGUGUAGCGGUGAACUGCGUAGAUAUUAGGAGGAACCCCAGUGGCGAAGGCGACUUACUUGACUGUAACUGACGUUGAGGCUCGAAAGCGUGGGGAGCAAACAGGAUUAGAUACCCCAGUAGUC